AUAGGUGGUUAUUGCAAUGGGGUUCACCUCUUACCUUUCCGAACAGAGAAGUUAAGUCCAUUAGCGCAGAUGGUACUGCCAUUUUGGUGGGAGAGUAUGUCGCCGCCUUCU
rfam:Flavobacteriaceae bacterium TMED116 MHASMcontig_289033, whole genome shotgun sequence.